rnacentral:rRNA from 1 species
AGAAUCAACGCUGGCGGCGUGCCUAACACAUGCAAGUCGAACGAGAAAGUGGAGCAAUCCAUGAGUAAAGUGGCGACCGGGUGAGUAACACGUGACUAACCUACCUUCGAGUGGGGGAUAACCUCGGGAAACCGAGGCUAAUACCGCAUAACAUCGCAAGAUCAAAGCAGCAAUGCGCUGGAAGAGGGGGUCGCGGCUGAUUAGCUAGUUGGCGGGGUAACGGCCCACAAGGCGAAGAUCGGUA